GCCAUCUCCAACCAAAAGUUGGCAUUAUUAUCAAUGCUAUUGCCACUUCAAAACAGGCUCCAAGCGCCCAGAAACACUAUGAAAAAUAAUUAUUUCAUAUGAGCAAUGUAAAUGUUUAUAUCAAAUUUAUUUAUAAGAAGAAAUUCUGCAUACAAUGUUACUCUGAAAUAAUAACUGAUGUUAUUCAUAUCUGCUCUAAGAGCA